GCCGCCCCGGACCCCCGUGGCCCGGCGCUCACGGGGGAAAUGUUCAACGCCAAUUUCUGUUAAAAAUCAGAAGAAAAAACAAAAUAAUAAUGAAUCCUUCUCGAAUUGCAUUCGUCUUUACACCGACGCAACCGUUAACUAUCGUUUUAACGCUUUCCCACGGAGGAAGGCCCACUCGGGAGGCUGAGGCAGGAGGAUCGCGUGAGCCCAGGAGAUUGAGGCUGCAGUGAGCUGUGACUGCACCGCUGCACUCCAGCCUGAGCAAUAGAGCAAGACUCUGUCUCAAAAAUAAAUUCACGGACCAAAAGGAGGUCUAGAAGCCCUGGUCUGAGCCCCCUCCAAUGGAGGGUGAAAUUCCCACGUGAGCCCCAGGGCGGGAGAAGGAGGCGCUCCGGAGACGCUGACUCUGCGGCCAGGACGAGUAGGCGGGACUACAGACCCGCGCCACCACAACCAGCUAAUAUUUUAAUUUUUUGUAGAGAUGGGGCCUCCCUAUGUUGCCCAUGCUGGUCUCAAACUCCUGGGAUCAAGAAAUCCUCCUGCCUUGGCUUCCCAAGGUGCUGGGAUUACAGAUGUGAGCCUGGUCUGUGAAUUUGAAUGGGGAAAAAUCCGACCUUUAUUCUCAAAUGGCCUCUGAUGUGACUGCAUUCCUCUAAUUCAUUCAAUUGCGGAUAUAAGGAAGAAGCCACAUUCAUAGUUGCAGGGCCUGUGACUUUGUCACCAACAGAAUUCACAGGCGGAAUCAGGGUGGUGACCUCGGCCACAUCACCGUCAUAGAGCUUCUUCACAGCCUGUUUGAUCUGGUGCUUGUUGGCUUUAACAUCCACAGUGAACAAAAGCGUGUUGUUUUCUUCUGUCCUCUUCACGGCCGACUCCGUGGUCAGCGGAAACUUGAUGACAGCAUAGUGGCCAAGCUUGUUUCUCCUGGGGGUGCUCUUCCAAGGAUAUUCAGGCCGCCUCCGGCGUCGCAGUGUCUUGGGCCGCUGG
rnacentral:lncRNA from 1 species